AUUGAACGCUGGCGGCAGGCUUAACACAUGCAAGUCGAGCGGGGAAGGGUAGCUUGCUACCUGACCUAGCGGCGGACGGGUGAGCAAUGCUUAGGAAUCUGCCUAUUAGUGGGGGACAACAUUCCGAAAGGAAUGCUAAUACCGCAUACGCCCUACGGGGGAAAGCAGGGGAUCUUCGGACCUUGCGCUAAUAGAUGAGCCUAGGUAAGAUUAGCUAGUUGGGGGGGUAAAGGCCUACCAAGGCGACGAUCUGUAGCGGGGCUGAGAGGAUGAUCCGCCACGCGGGGACUGGGAAGCGGCCCAGACUCCUCCGGGAGGCAGCAGUGGGGAAUAUUGGACAAUGGGCGAAAGCCUGAUCCAGCCAUGCCGCGUGUGUGAAGAAGGCCUUUUGGUUGUAAAGCACUUUAAGCGAGGAGGAGGCUACUUAGAUUAAUACUCUAGGAUAGUGGACGUUACUCGCAGAAUAAGCACCGGCUAACUCUGUGCCAGCAGCCGCCGUAACAC
rnacentral:rRNA from 1 species